CAGAGGGGGCAAGCGUUGUUCGGAAUUACUGGGCGUAAAGGGCGCGUAGGCGGCCUGCUAAGUCGAACGUGAAAUCCCCGAGCUCAACUCGGGAACUGCGUCCGAUACUGACAGGCUUGAAUCCGGGAGAGGGAUGCGGAAUUCCAGGUGUAGCGGUGAAAUGCGUAGAUAUCUGGAGGAACACCGGUGGCGAAGGCGGCAUCCUGGACCGGCAUUGACGCUGAGGCGCGAAAGCUAGGGGAGCAAACGGGAUUAGAUACCCCGGUAGUCCUAGCCCUAAACGAUGAAUGCUUGGUGUGGCGGGUAUCGAUCCCUGCCGUGCCGAAGCUAACGCAUUAAGCAUUCCGCCUGGGGAGUACGGUCGCAAGGCUG
rnacentral:rRNA from 1 species